UACGGAGGGUGCAAGCGUUAUCCGGAUUCACUGGGUUUAAAGGGUGCGUAGGUGGGCAAGUAAGUCAGUGGUGAAAUCUCCGGGCUUAACCCGGAAACUGCCAUUGAUACUAUUUGUCUUGAAUACUGUGGAGGUCAGCGGAAUAUGUCAUGUAGCGGUGAAAUGCUUAGAUAUGACAUAGAACACCAAUUGCGAAGGCAGCUGGCUACACAAAUAUUGACACUGAGGCACGAAAGCGUGGGGAUCAGACAGG
rnacentral:rRNA from 1 species